rnacentral:tRNA from 1 species
ACUUGAAUAGCUUAUGUAGAGCAUGAUAUUGAAGAUGUCAUUGAGGUUUAGAAGUAACCUUUGAGUA